ACCGUGUAGCCCAGUUGGUAGAGCGUCGAUCUAGUAAUUCGAAGGUCGCGGGUUCAAGACCCGGCAGCGGUA